AUUGAACGCUGGCGGCAUGCUUUACACAUGCAAGUCGAACGGUAACAGGCCUUCGGGUGCUGACGAGUGGCGAACGGGUGAGUAAUGCAUCGGAACGUGCCCAGAGGUGGGGGAUAACGCAGCGAAAGCUGUGCUAAUACCGCAUGUGAUCUGAGGAUGAAAGCGGGGGACCAGGCAGCAAUGUUUGGCCUCGCGCCUUUGGAGCGGCCGAUGUCAGAUUAGGUAGUUGGUGGGGUAAAGGCCUACCAAGCCGACGAUCUGUAGCUGGUCUGAGAGGACGACCAGCCACACUGGGACUGAGACACGGCCCAGACUCCUACGGGAGGCAGCAGUGGGGAAUUUUGGACAAUGGGCGCAAGCCUGAUCCAGCAAUGCCGCGUGCGGGAAGGAGGCCUUCGGGUUGUAAACCGCUUUUGUACGGAACGAAAAGGCUCUGGCUAAUACCUGGGGCUGAUGACGGUACCGUAAGAAUAAGCACCGGCUAACUACGUG
rnacentral:rRNA from 1 species